CCUACGGGCGGCAGCAGUGAGGAAUAUUGGUCAAUGGACGAGAGUCUGAACCAGCCAAGUAGCGUGAAUGAUGACUGCCCUAUGGGUUGUAAACUUCUUUUAUAUGGGAAUAAAAUGUUCCACGUGUGGGAUUUUGUAUGUACCAUAUGAAUAAGGAUCGGCUAACUCCGUGCCAGCAGCCGCGGUAAUACGGAGGAUGCGAGCGUUAUACGGAUUUAUUGGGUUUAAAGGGAGCGUAGGUGGAUUGUUAAGUCAGUUGUGAAAGUUUGGGGCUCAACCGGAAAAUUGCAGUUGAAACUGGCAGUCUAGAGUACAGUAGAGGUGGGUGGAAUUCGUGGUGUAGCGGUGAAAUGCGUAGAUAUCAGGAAGAACACCGAUGGCGAAGGCAGCUCACUGGACUGCAACUGACACUGAGGUUCGAAAGUGUGGGUAUCAAACAGGAUUAGAUACCCGAGUAGUC
rnacentral:rRNA from 1 species